rnacentral:rRNA from 1 species
AGAGCGAACGCUGGCGGCAGGCCUAACACAUGCAAGUCGAGCGCCCGUAGCAAUACGGGAGCGGCAGACGGGAUAGUAACACGUGGGAACGCGCCCUUCGGUUCGGAAUAACUCAGGGAAACUUGAGCUAAUACCGGAUACGCCCUUACGGGGAAAGAUUUAUUGCCGAAGGAACGGCCCGCGUCCGAUUAGCUAGUUGGUGAGGUAAUGGCUCACCAAGGCGACGAUCGGUAGCUGGUCUGAGAGGAUGACCAGCAUCACUGGGACUGAGACACGGCCCAGACUCCUACGGGAGGCAGCAGUGGGGAAUAUUGGACAAUGGGCGCAAGCCUGAUCCAGCCAUGCCGCGUGGAUGAUGAAGGCCUUAGGGUUGUAAAGUCCUUUUAACGGGGAAGAUAAGUGACGGUACCCGUAGAAUAAGCCCCGGCUAACGUUCGUGCCAGCAGCCGC